rnacentral:lncRNA from 1 species
CCCUCUGAAGGCCCAGGGAGAUAAUUGUGAGGCCUAUAAUACAAUGCUGCAUGGUUACCAGCUUCAAAAACAAAGGGCAAAACCAGCUAUUUAUCAGCGCUACUGUCACAGCUCACCAAGGAAUCGCCAUUGCACACAUACAAGCAUUUCCAGGUUCUGUCUCUGAUGGGGACUGUUGAAGAGCCAAGACUCAGAGCACUGGAUACAGAAACAGAAACCUGGAAAGCAGACAUAAAAAUGAGUCACAACUCUUCAAAGUGUGUCCAGAAAGCAAGGGCUCUAAGUCAUUUUCCUAUGAGGUGGGAGACACACCACUUUUCCUUUCUUCAUCUGCUGACACCAACAUGUAGGAGC